UAAUUAUAAGAACAAAAUUAUUCGCCAGAGUACUACCGGCAACAGCCCGAAACUCAAAGGACUUGGCGGUGCUUUAUACCCUUCUAGAGGAGCCUGUUCUAUAAUCGAUAAACCCCGAUAAACCUCACCAAUCCUUGCUAAUACAGUCUAUAUACCGCCAUCUUCAGCAAACCCUAAAAAAGGAACAAAAGUAAGCUCAAUAAUAACACAUAAAGACGUUAGGUCAAGGUGUAACCUAUGGAGUGGGAAGAAAUGGGCUACAUUUUCUACCCAAGAAAAUUUAAUACGAAAGCCAUUAUGAAAUUAAUAGCCAAAGGAGGAUUUAGCAGUAAACUAAGAAUAGAGUGCUUAGUUGAAUCAGGCCAUGAAGCACGCACACACCGCCCGC
rnacentral:rRNA from 1 species